rnacentral:SRP_RNA from 1 species
GCUGGGCGUGGUGGCAUGUGCCUGUAGUCCCAGCUACUCGGGAGACUGAGCUGGAAGGAUCGCUUGAGCCCAGGAGUUCUGGGCUGUAGUGCUGUGCUGAUCAGGUGUCCACUCUAAGUUUGGCAUCAAUAUGGUGACUUCCCGGGAACAGGGUCCACCAGGUUGCCUAAGGAGGGGUGAACCGGCCCAGGUCAGAAACGGAGCAAGUCAAAACUCCCAUGCUGAUCAGUAGUGGGAUCACGCCUGUGAAUAGCCACUGCACUCCAGCCCGGGCAACAUAGUGAGAACUCAUCUCU